UUAACUCAUAUUCAACCCGCUCAUUUGACACUCAAUCCAUUUUUGACUCGCAUAAAAUAUGGACGGCUUAAGACCCGACCCGUUUUUGCUUAACCCAAUUUCGUCCCGCCCAAAUCCGAUCCAAACCCCCAUUUGCCACCACUAAUCAAGACUAUUGACUUUCACUUACAAAUAAUGACCUUGAAUUCGGAAUUCCCCAUCUCCUCAAUUUGUGUUUCAUUAAUUUUGAGGGCAGC
rnacentral:lncRNA from 1 species